rnacentral:rRNA from 1 species
UACGGAGGUGGCAAGCGUUGUUCGGAAUUACUGGGCGUAAAGGGUGCGUAGGUGGUUUCUUAAGUCAGAGGUGAAAGGCUACGGCUCAACCGUAGUAAGCCUUUGAAACUGGGGAACUUGAGUGCAGGAGAGGAGAGUGGAAUUCCUAGUGUAGCGGUGAAGUGCGUAGAUAUUAGGAGGAACACCAGUGGCGAAGGCGACUCUCUGGUCUGUAACUGACGCUGAGGUGCGAAAGCGUGGGUAGCAAACAGGAUUAGAUACCCCCGUAGUCCCUGA